ncrna:Natronolimnohabitans innermongolicus JCM 12255 leuA-Halobacteria RNA
CAUGUCCGAGGAUAGAGGAAGUCGGGGCAACCCGGCUGGGCGUGAAAUUCUCC